UUCGUAGGUGAACCUGCGGAAGGAUCA
rnacentral:rRNA from 2 species